UUGACUUAAAAAUGAGUAGAAUAUACAAGUAAAGAAGAGGGAGAAAUGCAUAGGAAAAGGGAAAACAGGUUUAAAGAUGCCUGAAAAUUAGGGAGCAUAGUGGGAAAGUCUAAGAGUGCCUAGGACUAAGCCUUGAGCAUACCUGCAUUUAAUGGUCAUGUAAAAGGUAUGAGGUUUGCAGAAGAAAUAGAGAAAAAGCAGGAGAGGUGGGUGAAGUGAGGGUAGAAAAUAUAUAAAAACAACCAGAAUAAUGGUGGCACAGAAGCCAAAAGAAGAGCAAGUUUAAUGAAGGAGGUUUUUUUAACAGCAUGGAAAGCUCAAGAAAAAGAGAAAAAAAAAAUGGGUGUGAAGUUGAGUUCUCAUCUCAGACACAGGAAAAGGACCCAAUUUGGAAAAUCAGAAUGUACCCUUUAAUGAAGUAAGAAAUUCAGGGCAAAGACAACAAAAGAAGAAAUAAACGAAUAGAAGACCAACUAAAGAUUUUGGCACUGCAAAAGAAACCAUAGACAAAACAAAAGGGCAGCUAAUUGAAUGGAAUUUGUCUAUUUCCUCCACAUUGUCCAGCUUGCUGCUUUUGGAUGCUGAGAAAGACCCCAGCAUUAAUGGCACCCAAGACAGGGACGUCUGGAUAAGAAGAUUUCUCCUGAGCGAAGAAAAGAAGUUAAUCACCAGUAAAAGUGAAGAGA